rnacentral:lncRNA from 1 species
UGGCGGAGGGGCCGAUCGUCCGUACCCUUGAUAACACGGACCCCCAGUUUGGCCUCCGUAGCAUUGUCCACAACAAUAUCCGUGUGGCGGUUGUGGGUAUUCUUGAAUUGGCACUGGCGUUGGCAUUGGCAUUACGGGCUCUGGUUUAGGUUUAGGAACUUCUUUGGGCUUUUCGGGCUCUUUGGGCUUAGGCUUCUCAACUUCUUUUGGCUUUUCAGGUGUCUUAGGUUUCUGAGGCUCUUUAAUGAUAACAAUCUUAGGCUUCUCAGGCUCCUUGGGCUUUUCAAUGACGACAACUUUAGGUUUUUCGGGCUCUUUAGGCUUUUCAGGUUUGGGCUUUUCGGGCUCUUUGGGCUUUUCGGGAGGUUUGGGCUUUGGAGGGUCUUUGAUUUCAAUGCUUUUGAUUACUCCACAUCCU